AGUAACGGCGAGUGAAGCGGGAAAAGCUCAAAUUUAAAAUCUGGUGGCCUUUGGCCAUCCGAGUUGUAAUUUAGAGAAGCGUCUUCCGCGCUGGACCGUGCACAAGUCUCCUGGAAUGGAGCGUCAUAGAGGGUGAGAAUCCCGUCUUUGGCACGGACUCCCGGUGCUUCUGUGAUGCGCUCUCAAAGAGUCGAGUUGUUUGGGAAUGCAGCUCAAAAUGGGUGGUGAACUCCAUCUAAAGCUAAAUACUGGCGAGAGACCGAUAGCGAACAAGUACCGUGAGGGAAAGAUGAAAAGCACUUUGGAAAGAGAGUGAAACAGUACGUGAAAUUGUUGAAAGGGAAACGCUUGAAGUCAGUCGCGUUGACCGAGACUCAGCCUUGCCUCGGCUUGGUGUGCUUCUCGGCUCGACGGGUCAGCAUCAAUUUCGAUCCUCGGAUAAUGGCAAGGGAAAGGUGGCACCUUUUUUAGGUGUGUUAUAGUCCUCUGUCGCAUGCGAGGCUCGGGAUUGAGGAACUCAGCAUGCGCCUCUGGGUGCCGGGGCCGCUUGGCCUACGUUACGUGCUUAGGAUGCUGGCAUAAUGGCUUUAAACGACCCGUCUUGAAACACGGACCAAGGAGUCUAACAUACCCGCGAGUGUUCGGGUGGAAAACCCGUGCGCGUAAUGAAAGUAAAAGUUGGGACCUCUGUCGUGGAGGGCACCGACGCCCGGACCAGACCUUCUGUGACGGCUCUGCGGUAGAGCGUGUAUGUUGGGACCCGAAAGAUGGUGAACUAUGCCUGAAUAGGGUGAAGCCAGAGGAAACUCUGGUGGAGGCUCGUAGCGAUUCUGACGUGCAAAUCGAUCGUCAAAUUUGGGUAUAGGGGCGAAAGACUAAUCGAACCAU
rnacentral:rRNA from 1 species